GAUACAUGCCACCAAGUUCUAAGGGUGAGACUAGGGUCUCUAGAGCUGUAUUUUGUGGGUUGGGCCGUUGGGGUGUGUAGUAGUGGCAUGCCAAUAUGCCAUAUGUUGUUAUCUAGCCUACAAGAGAUCGACCUCCAAAAAGAAAAAAGAUCGAUCUCCCACAUGGGAGUUUUAUUUAGCAUGAUGUUAUGAUCUAGUU